rnacentral:rRNA from 1 species
UGGGGAAUAUUGCACAAUGGGCGCAAGCCUGAUGCAGCCAUGCCGCGUGUAUGAAGAAGGCCUUCGGGUUGUAAAGUACUUUCAGUCGGGAGGAAGGUGGUAAGGUUAAUAACCUUAUCAAUUGACGUUACCGACAGAAGAAGCACCGGCUAACUCCGUGCCAGCAGCCGCGGUAAUACGGAGGGUGCAAGCGUUAAUCGGAAUUACUGGGCGUAAAGCGCACGCAGGCGGUUGAUUGAGUCAGAUGUGGAAUCCCCGGGCUUAACCCGGGAAUUGCAUCUGAUACUGGUCAGCUAGAGUCUUGUAGAGGGGGGUAGAAUUCCAUGUGUAGCGGUGAAAUGCGUAGAGAUGUGGAGGAAUACCGGUGGCGAAGGCGGCCCCCUGGACAAAGACUGACGCUCAGGUGCGAAAGCGUGGGGAGCAAACAGG